UAGGGAUUUGAAACUGGCCACUAAACUUAUAAAACUUGGGGCAGAUGUUAACCUAUGUCCCCAGGGAAACCGAUUUGCGUCUGAAGAGGGCGUUCCACCAUUGUAUUAUGCAACAAAUGCGCGAGAUGCUGAGAUGGUUAAAUUAUUGUUCAAUUCAGGGGCGGAUGUAAAUGGUCUCAAAGGUCGUCAGCAGUAUUUGAACCUCCAGGAACCAGUAAAAGAACUAUACAGUAUCUUUGAUAUCAACCGAGGAACUUAUUCCAGGUCCGCUAAAAGCUGUAGUCGACCGCAAGCGUCUCUUCAAGUUCUCGUGGAACUUUAUCUAGAGGCCGGGGCAAAGUUAAACACCACACGAUGGGGACCUUGUCUGUUUUACGGAUGCAUUACGAGACUCAGGUAACCGAUCGAUAGGAGAGUCGCUAGCUGUAUUCAGGCCGUCACCUAGACGACAGUGCAUGUGCUUGUAGAGCUGGACGUACACGAUUAACGCCCCACUGUGUUACUGUAAAAGAGACAUUUUGAAUUGUUUCAGUACUGGGAGAUGUGUUAAUAAAAUGGUUCCAAUGCAUGGUAAUUAAACUCAACUUUUCUACAAUACGUAUACACGGCCGUCAUAUAAAGCACAAUGUGUAUUACUGACAUGACAAAUGUACGCUGGCAAUUCAAACGAACGCGGGAUUGCUCCCGAUAGAACAAUUCUUUUAAAGCAAAAAAAAAAAAUACUGAGUUACUUGCAAAGCAUCUACAAACGAAAAUACCAAACAACCUUCAGCAGCAACUUAUAAAUUAUUUAUUCCAUACACAAUUCUAAAGAGGUAGUUAAAUAAAUUUUAUAAAUGCUUUAUACUUGUAUUCGCUAUCUUCCAUGGAAAAAAGUGGCAUGGAAAAAAUGUUGUUCAAUGUUCAUCAAAUACGCUGUAGCCUUAGCAAUCGAAAAUAAUUAACAAACUGUAUAUUGAUAGAUUGACAUAUCAACAAACAUUCAGACCCGCAUUGUGUUUUCUUACUAGUUCUAUAAAACGUAGACUCAAUGACUGAAUUCUUUACCGUUUUCCGUCUGAGUUCUUUUGAAUCACGUGUGUACGUUCAUCAAAUACGCUGUAGCCUUAGCAAUCGAAAAUAAUUAACAAACUGUAUAUUGAUAGAUUGACAUAUCUACAAACAUUCAGACCCGCAUUGUGUUUUCUUACUAGUUCUAUAAAACGUAGACUCAAUGACUGAAUUCUUUACCGUUUUCCGUCUGGGUUCUUUUGAAUCACUUGUGUACGUUAUGUGUAGCCAUAUAGAUGAACACUUUAAGUGUUUAAAUUUUAAAAGAAAUUGUGUACAUGCAGAGCAUUGCAAUGCUAGGACAAUAAAAUUCCAACAAUGCAUAUGGUGAGGCCGGUCAGACUGAUACUGGUUCUGCUUGUUCUACAAAUAGCGAAUGUAAGACGAAGUAUUUGAGUGUUAUAUUUUAAACAAAUAUAAGUAUUGCUUUCUUAAAAGCUUGCAUUACUCAACAAAGUAUUUUAUUGGAAUCAUUCUUAGUUACCUUAGCUGCAUAUAUGUACCGCUCUGUCUGUAUCCCGGAAAAAUUGACUACCAUCCGAAAUUUUUCAUACAAGGUCUACAGACUUGCAGCUAACAUUACCUUUAAAAAUACAUUUUAGAAUUUGCCGCUGUUUAUAAAUUUAUUAAAAAGACGCGCAGAAUCAAGUGGUUAUAUGGCGUUUGAUAUGGGAUUAAUGACGUCUAUUUAUAUUGUUUUCAUUAAAAUUAUUUCAUUAUUUCAAGCUUUUGGGAAAUCAGUUUCACAUGUUAUAUGACAUUAAGAUGUCCUCUCUCCACUUUUUCUCGAAGCAACUAUUUUUUUUUAAAUUUACAUUAAAAAAAUUGAAUUAUCAUGGAGUUGCUCCCCCCCCCAUUUUGGUAGCAUGUAAAAAAAAUGGUAUGAAAAUCAUGAAAUUAUG